GAUGAACGCUGGCGGCGUGCCUAAUACAUGCAAGUCGAGCGAACGGACGAGAAGCUUGCUUCUCUGAUGUUAGCGGCGGACGGGUGAGUAACACGUGGAUAACCUACCUAUAAGACUGGGAUAACUUCGGGAAACCGGAGCUAAUACCGGAUGAUAUUUUGAACCGCAUGGUUCAAAAGUGAAAGACGGUCUUGCUGUCACUUAUAGAUGGACCCGCGCUGCAUUAGCUAGUUGGUAAGGUAACGGCUUACCAAGGCAACGAUGCAUAGCCGACCUGAGAGGGUGAUCGGCCACACUGGAACUGAGACACGGUCCAGACUCCUACGGGAGGCAGCAGUAGGGAAUCUUCCGCAAUGGGCGAAAGCCUGACGGAGCAACGCCGCGUGAGUGAUGAAGGUCUUUGGAUCGUAAAACUCUGUUAUUAGGGAAGAACAUAUGUGUAAGUAACUGUGCACAUCUUGACGGUACCUAAUCAGAAAGCCACGGCUAACUACGUG
rnacentral:rRNA from 1 species